rnacentral:rRNA from 1 species
UACGUAGGGCGCAAGCGUUGUCCGGAAUUAUUGGGCGUAAAGAGCUCGUAGGUGGUUUGUCGCGUCUGCCGUGAAAACCCGAGGCUUAACCUCGGGCCUGCGGUGGAUACGGGCAAACUAGAGGUAGGUAGGGGAGAACGGAAUUCCCGGUGUAGCGGUGAAAUGCGCAGAUAUCGGGAGGAACACCGGUGGCGAAGGCGGUUCUCUGGGCCUUACCUGACGCUGAGGAGCGAAAGCAUGGGGAGCGAACAGGG